AGAGUUUGAUCCUGGCUCAGAUUGAACGCUGGCGGCAGGCCUAACACAUGCAAGUCGAGCGGCAGCGGGAAAGUAGCUUGCUACUUUUGCCGGCGAGCGGCGGACGGGUGAGUAAUGCCUGGGGAUCUGCCCAGUCGAGGGGGAUAACAGUUGGAAACGACUGCUAAUACCGCAUACGCCCUACGGGGGAAAGSAGGGGACCUUCGGGCCUUKCGCGAUUGGAUGAACCCAGGUGGGAUUAGCUAGUUGGUGGGGUAAUGGCUCACCAAGGCGACGAUCCCUAGCUGGUCUGAGAGGAUGAUCAGCCACACUGGAACUGAGACACGGUCCAGACUCCUACGGGAGGCAGCAGUGGGGAAUAUUGCACAAUGGGGGAAACCCUGAUGCAGCCAUGCCGCGUGUGUGAAGAAGGCCUUCGGGUUGUAAAGCACUUUCAGCGAGGAGGAAAGGUUGAUGCCUAAUACGCAUCAGCUGUGACGUACUCGCAGAAGA
rnacentral:rRNA from 1 species